AGCAGUUCUCGGUGAUGCACCCCAAAAUCAGGCUCCCGACUCUCUGGUUCUAGGUGUGUCACCUGUGAACUGCA
rfam:Myotis davidii contig321738, whole genome shotgun sequence.